rnacentral:rRNA from 1 species
GGAGGGUGCGAGCGUUGUUCGGAAUUACUGGGCGUAAAGCGCGUGUAGGCGGCCUUGCAAGUCAGGCGUGAAAGCCCUCGGCUUAACCGGGGAAGUGCGUCUGAAUCUGCUUGGCUUGAGUACGGGAGAGGGAGGCGGAAUUCCCAGUGUAGAGGUGAAAUUCGUAGAUAUUGGGAGGAACACCGGUGGCGAAAGCGGCCUCCUGGACCGAUACUGACGCUGAGACGCGAAAGCGUGGGGAGCAAACAGGAUUAGAUACCCUGGUAGUCCACGCGGUAAACGAUGGGCUACUAGGUGUGGGGGGUAUCCACUCCUCCCGUGCCGAAGCUAACGCAUUAAGUGCCCCGCCUGGGGAGUACGGCCGCAAGGUUA